rnacentral:lncRNA from 1 species
UAAGACUACAUGAUAUAGAACUGCACAUGUUAUAAAACCCCAGUGUGUUAUAUAUAGAUAAAGUCAAUGAACUUUAAGCACGUGUAACUGUUCAAUUGUCAAUCAAGAUAAGAUAGGCGGAGUCUCUAUAAACGUAAACAUUGACCAGAUGAUAUAGCAAUAUCAUUACAACCCCCCUCUUGAGACAAGCAAUUAAUUUAACACAGUUCAUUAAGUCACAUUGAAAGUCUAGCCAGUUUGCGUUGAAUGUUGAAUCUAAUUAACUACGAUAAAUAUUUACAGACAGCAUGCAAUUUAACGAUCAUACGAAAUUACUUUAGAAAAUCACAUGUUGAUCAAUAAAGAAAAUAGAGAAAAUGUUUUCUCACAUAAGU